GAUCAGCAUCACUGAGAGAAGGGCGAAGAGAUGGCGAAGACAGGACCACAUGCCACAGGAGAAUGACAUGUCCUCCACACCUUUUGAACAGAAGAGUGGGAUGCAUCAAGGAGCUUCAGCAAACACCAUGCAGAUCUGCACACUGAAGUCCGAGCGCUCGGAACGCAAAGAGAGCGGAGCUCGGACCCAGGUGGUACCGAGCCCAGAAGUCCAGGGUCAGCGAGAACGCAGCUCAGGGGGCACCGCACCGGCUUGCUCGCCAGCCUCUGAGUCACGGGGGGUCGUCCCCGGAUUCCACGUCCCACACCAUGACAUGUCAAAAGUUCAGAAAUAAGGCAAAUAAAACCAAUGAAGCAA